GAUGAACGCUAGCGGGAGGCUUAACACAUGCAAGUCGAGGGGUAUAGUAGCAAUACUAGAGACCGGCGGACGGGUGCGUAACGCGUAUGCAACUUACCUUAUACAGGGGGAUAGCCCGUGGAAACGCGGAUUAAUAUUCCAUAGUUCAGAGAUGCUGCAUGGCAUUUUUGGUAAAGCUGAGGCGGUAUAAGAUAGGCAUGCGUCUGAUUAGCUAGUUGGUAAGGUAACGGCUUACCAAGGCGACGAUCAGUAGGGGUUCUGAGAGGAUAACCCCCCACACUGGGUACUGAGACACGGACCAGACUCCUACGGGAGGCAG
rnacentral:rRNA from 1 species